CUUCUUUAUCUACAUAUAAUAUGUGUGUGUGUAUAUAUAUAUGUGUGUGUAUAUCUCCAAAUAUCACCUGUGCAUGUAUAAGGCAAACCAUAUAUAUAUAUAUAUGAUUUCCUCAACAAACAAAUUGCAAGAAACAAACAAAAAAAGAGAGUAAAGGAUUUAUAAAUUGAAGGAGAUUUAAAAGACAUAUUAGCCAACCACGUACAGUGUAUGGAUUCAGACUAAUGGGAGAUAAUCAUUGAAAUUUGAAUAUGGACUGAAUAUUUAUUUAAUAAUAUUAAGGUGUUACUUCUUUAUUUUCAAAGAUAUAAUAAUGGCAGUUUGAUUAAGUGUUUAAAAUCUUAUCUUUCACAUCUGACACUAAAAUAUUUAUGAAUGAUAUACUGUCUAGGAUUUCCCUCCAAAUAGUAAAGGGAAGAGAAAUGGAGAUACAGAAGAAAUAAGAUAGGCCUGAACUUGAGCAUAGUUGAACUUGGUUGAUGAGCACAUUAAGGCACAUUGUACUAUUCUCUCUAUUU
rnacentral:lncRNA from 1 species